UGGCGACGGGUGAGUAACACGUGAGUAACCUGCCCUUGACUCUGGGAUAACCUCCGGAAACGGAAGCUAAUACCGGAUACGAACUGCKAAGGCAUCUUCAGCRGGUGGAAAGAACUUCGGUCAAGGAUGGACUCGCGGCCUAUCAGGUAGUUGGUGAGGUAAAGGCUCACCAAGCCUACGACGGGUAGCCGGCCUGAGAGGGUGACCGGCCACACUGGGACUGAGACACGGCCCAGACUCCUACGGGAGGCAGCAGUGGGGAAUAUUGCACAAUGGGCGCAAGCCUGAUGCAGCAACGCCSCGUGAGGGAUGACGGCCUUCGGGUUGUAAACCUCUUUUAGUAGGGAAGAAGCGAAAGUGACGGUACCUGCAGAAAAAGCACCGGCUAACUACGUGCCAGCAGCCGCGGUAAUACGUAGGGUGCGAGCGUUGUCCGGAAUUAUUGGGCGUAAAGAGCUCGUAGGCGGUCUGUCGCGUCUGCUGUGAAAACCCGAGGCUCAACCUCGGGCCUGCAGUGGGUACGGGCAGACUAGAGUGCGGUAGGGGAGAAUGGAAUUCCUGGUGUAGCGGUGGAAUGCGCAGAUAUCAGGAGGAACACCGAUGGGCGAAGGCAGUUCUCUGGGRCCGUAACUGACGCUGAGGAGCGAAAAGCGUGGGCAGCGAACAGGAUUAGAUACCCUGGRUAGUCCACGCCYGUAAACGUUGGGCAGCUAGAUGCUGSGGGAACCAUUCCCACGGUUUCCGUGGUCGCAGCUUAACGCAUUUAAGCGCCCCGACCUGGGGAGUACGGCCUGCAAGGCUAAACUCAAAGGAAUUGACCGGGGC
rnacentral:rRNA from 1 species